AUAUAGGUGGUUGCCUUCAGCAGAGUUUCAGUAUUGAAAAAGAAGUUCAGAGAGUACAAGUUGAAGUUACAUGUUAGAGAGCUGGAAGAGUUCAGAGGAAGAAAGAGAUACAGUUUUGAGUGUAAGCUGAGAGUCCAGAAGAAAGCUGGAAAAGGAGUUCAAGAAGUACAGAACUGAAGAAUUGCUGGCAUAGUCUGAGAGAGGAUUAGAACUGGGGCUAAGAAGAGCUGAGAAAUCACUGGCAGAGAGUGGAAAUUCUGGAGAGCUAAAAAUACUCACAAACAAGAAACAACAGUCCGGGCUGAACUUCAGAACUGGGAAAAAGAACGACAUGAGGCUGAACAAGGGAAAAGCUGGGGUUGCUAAAAAAAGCUGGAGUGAUUGCAAAGGACUCUAAGUAAGAGCACAGUGAGAGUCAGAUUCCUUCAUCUUUUGCAUCAAGUGAAAUAAACUGAUUAUAUAUUUGAAAAUAAACACACAGCAUCAAGCAACGAACUAAAAUAUGAAGAGGACUAGUACCUUGUUUCAGCUGAUGCAAGCCUUCCACUUUCUGAAGACCAUGAAGCAAAAAGUGAAAGUUAAGAACCAUGACUGUUUAAGCCACCGAUUUGGAUUACAGAAGUCAACUGAACCUGUGCUAACAUUUUCAAAGCUAUGAUUGUCUGGUGCGAAGUAAGAUCUAAGCAGCAUAAAAAAUAAAUAUGAAUUGAGUUCAAGAUA